UAGGGCGGCACAGAGGGAAGCCAGGUGGCGACACCGCGCGGAACCCGAAAGCCGUUCUCAGUUCGGAUCGGAGUCUGCAACCCGACUCAGUGAAGCUGGAUUCGCUAGUAAUCGCGCAUCAGCCAUGGCGCGGUGAAUACGUUCCCGGGCCUUGUACACACCGCCCGUCACACCAUGAGAGUUGAGAAUACCCGAAGUCCAUGUCAAAGUGGCCGAAGGUAGGCUUGAUGAUUGGGGUGAAGUCGUAACAAGGUACC
rnacentral:rRNA from 1 species